rnacentral:lncRNA from 1 species
CAAUAAAGUCUUUUUAACUUUCAGAAGGUAAUCCUGAGCCGAGGGACAACGAAGCAGAAGAACAAGAAGAACAAGAAGAACAGUUGCACAAUAUAAUUAAAGCAGUCGAGCAUCCGACUAGUUCUAAUAUCUUGAAACUAUUACCGAACAGAAUGAAAUCAUUUUCCAGUUGUCUACAACUAAUACCCAACCGUGGAGUUUAUUGCGAUCUUUGUCACUUUUUCUUGUCGGAAAAAGUUAACAUAAUAGAACAUUUUCUUAUGACUCCUGCACAUAGAGCGGCGAAAUCGUUACAAUAUAACUACUAUUGUGAUAUAUGCGAUACAUGGUAUAAAUCUGAGCCUGCCUGGUUAUAUUAUCAUAACUUCUCUGGACCACGACAUCUUAAUAUGGCAGCUAGUAGACGCAACAAGGUAACCGAGUAUGAAUGUACCACUUGUAGACUUGUUAUAUUUGGUGACAAUUUAUCGUUAUCUCGA